GGGAGCGUAGCUCAGUGGCAGAGCAGCGGGCUGUUAACCCGUGUGUCGGAAGUUCGAUCCUUCCUGUUCCCG
rnacentral:tRNA from 1 species